rnacentral:rRNA from 1 species
UGGGGAAUUUUGGACAAUGGGGGAAACCCUGAUCCAGCCAUCCCGCGUGUGCGAUGAAGGCCUUCGGGUUGUAAAGCACUUUUGGCAGGAAAGAAACGUCAUGGGUUAAUACCCCGUGAAACUGACGGUACCUGCAGAAUAAGCACCGGCUAACUACGUGCCAGCAGCCGCGGUAAUACGUAGGGUGCAAGCGUUAAUCGGAAUUACUGGGCGUAAAGCGUGCGCAGGCGGUUCGGAAAGAAAGAUGUGAAAUCCCAGCGCUGAACUUUGGAACUGCAUUUUUAACUACCGGGCUAGAGUGUGUCAGAGGGAGGUGGAAUUCCGCGUGUAGCAGUGAAAUGCGUAGAUAUGCGGAGGAAUACCGAUGGCGAAGGCAGCCUCCUGGGAUAACACUGACGCUCAUGCGCGAAAGCGUGGGGAGCAAACAGG